rnacentral:rRNA from 1 species
UGAGGAAUAUUGGACAAUGGGGGAAACCCUGAUCCAGCAAUGCCGCGUGUGUGAAGAAGGCCUUCGGGUUGUAAAGCACUUUCAGUAGUGAAGAAAGACAUGAGGUUAAUAGCCUCGUGGGAUGACGUUAACUACAGAAGAAGCACCGGCUAACUCUGUGCCAGCAGCCGCGGUAAUACAGAGGGUGCAAGCGUUAAUCGGAAUUACUGGGCGUAAAGCGCGCGUAGGUGGACUUUUAAGUCAGAUGUGAAAUCCCCGGGCUCAACCUGGGAACUGCAUUUGAUACUGGGAGUCUAGAGUAUGGGAGAGGGAAGUGGAAUUUCCGGUGUAGCGGUGAAAUGCAUAGAUAUCGGAAGGAACAUCAGUGGCGAAGGCGGCUUCCUGGACCAAUACUGACACUGAGGUGCGAAAGCGUGGGGAGCGAACAGG